UCUGUUUACAUAAACACUCGAGAGUCAUACCACUGCCAAUGCCGGCCAUGCAGGGUACAGAUUCGUGUCAGAAAGUACAAGUGUGAAGACGUUGACGAGUGCGUGGAGUCGCCCAGAUCCUCUCCCUGUGGACCAUCCCCUCAGUAGUAUUCGA